UUAAUUGAAGCCAAAAAGAGGCGUUUCACUGUUAAUGAUUCUAAUGAAGUAAAAUUCCGAUUAAA
rnacentral:tRNA from 1 species